UUUUUGCUCUAAAUGAAUGGUUAUUGUCAUGGUGUAAAGAACAGAAACUGCUCUUUGUUAAUAAUUGGAAUCUUUUCUGGGAGCGACCUAGGACUCUACGCUCCAUUUGACUAGAUUUACACAAGCUCCAGUCUGGAUCCAGAACACCUGAGAAGAGAUGAUGCCAACCCCUCAGAGGACCUCAGAUGAUGCUAACCCAGAGACAACAUACAGAACUACCACAUUUUUGCUAUAAGUUUGAUUGCAUAAUUGCUGUUAAUAGUGUUAAUCGUCUGUUUGUUUACGUCUUUUAUUGAUUUUUCUGAACAUUUCUGCCAUAUGCACAUGAACUGACAGUCACCACUGAUAAG
ensembl:lncRNA